UGGGGUGGGGCCUAGAGAACUGACCAAUCAGGGGAGCUGAGGUGGAGCAUCCAGAUGAGAACUGUCAAUCAGGGGGGUUGGGGCAGAGCCUGGAGACCUGUCAAAUCAAAGGAGCUGAGACAGGGCCUGGAAACAUGACCAAUUAGGAAAGCUGGGGUGGGGCCUGAAGAACUUCCCAAUCAGGGGAGCUCAGGGGAUAGUAAGCUGACCAACCAGAAAAGGAGGGGCAGAGUCUAGAGAACUGUCCAAUCAGGGGAUUUGGGAUGUGACUGGUGAACUCUCCAAUGAGAGAUGAGCAGAGAAGAGAACCGUCCAAUCACAGCCCCAGGGGUGGGGUGUUGCUGUCCUACCUGCCGAGCACACCCAGCCUGCCCUGAGUGACCACAGGUGUCCCCGUGGUGCUCACCUACACCGGCUGCGAGGAGCAGGGAGCUCCUCAAAGAGCUCAGGAACGGACAGGACAUGGACACGGUGGUCUUUGAAGACGUGGUUGUGGAUUUCACGCUGGAGGAGUGGCCCUUGCUGAAUCCUGCUCAGAGAAAACUCUACAGAGAUGUCAUGCUGGAGACCUUCAAGCACCUGGCCUCAGUAGAUAAUGAGGCUCAGCUUAAAGCCAGUGGGUCUAUUUCUCAGCAGGCUACUUCUGGAGAAAAAUUAUCCCUCAAACAGAAAAUAGAAAAGUUCACAAGAAAGAAUAUAUGGGCCUCCCUUUUAGGAAAAAAUUGGGAAGAACAUAGCGUUAAAGACAAGCACAACACCAAGGAGAGACAUUUGAGAAAUCCAAGGGUGGAGAGACCAUGUAAAAGCAGUAAAGAUAAUAAACAUGGAAGAACCUUCAGAAAGACUCGAAAUUGUAAUCGUCAUCUGCGCAAGAAUCAUUGUACUAGUGUAAGAUGGUACGAAUGCAGUCAGUGUGGAAAACUCUUCACCCAUUCUUCAUCCCUGAUGAGGCACAAAAGAGCUCACUCUGGACAAAAAUUAUAUAAAUGUAAGGAAUGUGGGAAAGCCUUCAGUUGCCCUUCAUACCUACAGACGCAUGAGAAAACUCACAGUGGAGAGAAACCCUAUGCCUGUCAAUCUUGCGGGAAGACAUUUCUUCGUUCCCACUCUCUCACUGAACAUGUAAGGACUCACACUGGAGAGAAACCCUACGAAUGUGGGCAGUGUGGGAAAGGCUUCAGUUGUCCCAAAUCCUUUCGCGUGCAUGUGAUGAUGCAUGCUGGAGGGAGACCGUAUGAGUGCAAGCACUGUGGGAAGGCCUUCAGGUGUCAGAAAUCCUUUCGAGUCCAUAUGAUCAUGCACGCCGGAGGGAGACCGUAUGAGUGUAAGCAGUGUGGGAAAGCCUACUGCUGGGCAACAUCCUUUCAACGACACGUGAGAAUUCACAACGGGGAGAAACCCUAUAAGUGUGAAAAAUGCGGGAAAGCGUUCGGUUGGCCCUCAUCCUUACACAAACACGCGAGAACGCAUGCUAAAAAGAAACCUGUGAGUGGGGGCAGGGUGGGAAAGUCUUCCGCGAGGCCUCGCCCCUCCACAGAUGUCAAAUCGCAAACUAGAGAGAGUCUAUAAAUGUGAAACGUGUGGGAAAACGUAUGGUUGGUCCUCAUCUUUACACAAACAUGAGAGAAAGCACACUGGGGAGAAACCUGUAAAUGCAGCCAGUGUGGGAAAACCUUCAGGCGGGCUUUGCUCUUCCAAAAAUGUAAGAACGCAGAUUGGACAGAAGCCCAAUAAAUGCGAAAAAUGUGGGAAAGCUUUCAGUUGUCCCAAAGCCUUUCAAGGUCAUGUGAGAAGUCACACAGGAAAGAAACCCUGUACAUCUACAUAAUGGGGGAAAACCUGUGCAAAUUAAUUCACAUACAUGGUUCAGAAAAUUCACAGCAGGAGGGCCGGGCGCGGUGGCUCACGCCUGUAAUCCCAGCACUUUGGGAGGCCGAGGCAGGCGGAUCACGAGGUCAGGAGAUCAAGACCAUCCUGGCUACAGUGAAACCCGGUCUCUACUAAAAAAAAAAAAAAUACAAAAAAUUAGCCAGGCGUGGUGGUGGGUGCCUGUAGUCCCAGCUGCUCAAGAGGCUGAGGCAGGAGAAUGGCAUGAACCUGGGAGGCGGAGCUUGCAGUGAGCCGAGAUGGCACCACUGCACUCCAGCCUGGGUGACAGAGCGAGACUCCAUCUCAAAAAAAAAAAAAAGAAAGAAAAUUCACGGCAGGAGAAUAAUCUCGUGACAUUUAUAAAUAUGGUAUUGCCUUUAUCAGGACCACAUCCUAAAAGUGGGCCUCUAGCAAAUGAAUUUGCAGUUCUCUUGCAGAUAAAGUUGAGGGGAGAAUCCUGUAAUUCCCCUCUCAUCUAUAGUACUGAAAUUUUCAUACAUAAUGGUUUUUUCUUAUAAAUUACUAAUGUUUCUUUUUUCAUUUAGAAGUGUAUUGCACCCAUGGGUGAUUUGGAAUGUAUUUUAAUAUGCAUUAACUUUAAUUUUUAUAUAAUUUUUUUGUUACUCCGUGUGAGGCCAUUAGACUAAUGAAAUAUUGGUGUUUGUUGACAUUUUCUGACUGGCCCUGUGUGUUCCAAGCUGGAUAUUACUAACAUGUUACUUUUAUUCCACCUUUCCAUUUUACAGGGAAAAACUAUUUUUAAUGUUAAUACUUUCUACUUAUACAGGCAAGUAAUUCAGUGGCUUUAUGCUAUUGGUCAGAGAAUCCUUCUUCAUUUUGCUUGUGGGCUAAUAGGUAGUUGGUAGAAAUACGUAUGCGUGUAAAUUCUUGGAGGAGUGUAGUCUCGUAGAAACUAUUUUUUUCAUCUGUUGCUGUUUGCUCUUUGACACGGCUUCUGGGUUGGAAUUGGAAAAUAGGUUUUUUUUGUUUUUUUUUCUUUUUCUUUUUCUUUUUUGAGACAGAGUCCUGUUAUGUUGCCCAAGCUGGAGUGCAGUGGCACGAUCUCGGCUCACUGCAACUUCCGCCUCCCGGUUUCAAGCGAUCCUCCUGCCUCAGCCUCCCAAGUAGCUGGAACU